rnacentral:lncRNA from 1 species
CAAUUAUUUUGUUAGGUAAUCAUUGAGUGCCCCGUGGCAGUCGUUCGCUCAUUCGUUCACCCAGCGAACAUUCACUGAGGGCCUUGCUUAGCCCGCGCGCCGUGCUGGGAGUUGGGGUGAUGGCAGCGAACAAGGCAAGCACAGCCCAGCUCCCUGUCUAGCUGGAAGUCACUGCCUCACCAAAUCAGCGAUGCAGUGUAGCCCCUGAAAUGCGUGGUCCUAAAGGGAGCAGGAUGGCUUCCUAGGAGCUGUGCCAAAGCUUAGCCAUCCAAACAGGAGUUCCCGCUUCAGAGCACUCGUUUCAGAGGCAUCAAUCUUAGGAGUUUAUUCUUAAAAUAUUUUUGCAACAGUUCUUUGGGACUAGCCACCACGGAGACUAUUAAAAGAAUUUUCUUUAGUCUCUGAAGGCUCUUCCAAAAGAGGAGUUCUAAAACCCUUUUGGGCAAUAAGUUCUUUGCAACACAUACCUAGCAUUCUUGAGGGGAAAGAGCUGUUAUUUGUCAUGUCUAUGCUCUGUACUACACCACUUUUAUGAUUUCUUCAGCUUAGGUCCCUUAAAGAUUUUAAUGCAGUGGUUUUCAACGGGGAGGCACUUUUGCCCCGCCAGGGGAUAUUCGGCAAGGCUGGAGACAUUUUUGGUUGUCACAACUUGAGCGGAGGGUGCUACUGGUGUCUCGGGGCUAGAGGCCAGGAUGCUGCUAACAUCCUACAGCGCACGGGACAGCCCCCACAGCACAGAGUUAUCCUGCCUCAAAUGUUGACGGUGCUCAGGUUGAGAAGCUCUGGUUUCAAUGGGAUGUUUGUUAAAAAAGUCGGUCUCAGGACUCUGCCCGCUACAAUUUCCCAGAAGGUGCCCCGGGAAGCGGGAACACUGAAGGGUCCAUUUGUGAAAGGGCCUCUGUUGGUGCCUCAGAGGCUCACUUGUUAAGAAGAUGUUCAGAGCAGGGCCUUGGCGAUCCGCAGGUCUGGGUGGACAUCUUGCUCUUGUACUUGCUAGCCAGGUGAGUGUGGGUGAUUUAUUUAACCUCACCGAGCCUCAGUUUCCCCAUCUGUAGUAGAGGAGUAAUAAUGCCUAUUUCCUAGGGUUUCUGUAGAUAUCCCCUGAGGUCAUGCACGGCAUGAGCUUAGUUCAGUCAGUGCUCCACAGGGAGGGGCUAGUACGGACUGUGACCUGAGAAUGAGUGUUUGUGCCUCACAAUGACCCUGAAUAUCAGCAAAUAUUUACUGAAGACCCGCGAAGCACCAAGCCCAUUGUUCGACUGUGGGGUCUCUGCACACAAGAAGUAGAUAGUCUGGAGUAAGAGGAAGAUAAAAGACACAUCUUCAUGAAGAGGAAACCAGCACCAUAUGACUGCAUUUGACAUGCUGGUUAGACUGUGGAUAUGAUGGCUGGAGGUGGACAAGCCACUUUAGACCAACAGUGUGGCUUGACGAGAAGUGCUAGGUCCCUGCCCGGGAUCCGAACCUGCAAACCCUGGGCUGUCGAAGAGGAGUGUGGGAACUUCACCACUAUGCCACCGGGCUGACCCCUCAAGGGAUCCUUUUUUGACGCUUGUUUUCUAUUUUUUUCCAAUCUGAGUGUUCUGUGCUGAAUUGUUUGGUUUGGAUGAAGUAUGUUACUUCCCUCUCCCUGGGAUUCUUUUAAAAAAGAAACGCCAACCAUCUCAGUCAAAUUUAGAAGGAAGAAAUUAAACAAAGGCUCCAGUGACUUGCAGUGGGGUGAGUCAGUCCUUUGCUCCUCAUAUGUUUUUAUUUAUUUUUUUUCUUUUUUGAGGAAGAUUAGCCCUGAGCUAAUUACUGUCAAUCCUCCUCUCUUUUUUUUUUUUUCCUGAGGAAGACUGGCCCUGAGCUAAUAUCCAUGCCCAUCUUCCUCUACUUUAUAUGUGGGAUGCCUACCACAGCAUGGCUUUUGCCAAGCGACGUGGUGUCCGCACCCGGGAUCCAAAUCAGCGAUCCCUGGGCCACCAAGAAGCGGAAAGUGCGAACUUAACUGCUGCUCCACUGGGCUGGCCCCAACCUCAUAUGUUUUUAAAAUGCUCAGCUCAGCCAGAGCCUCUUCUCCCCAGCAGUGGAUCCCUCAAUCCAAAAAGUCAGCCUUCUGAGAGAAACAGCACAUCCAGGGCAGGAGAUGUUGGCCUCAAGGCAUGAGCCAGCAAUAUUCCGAGGGUUCUAGGAAUGGCGCCUCGCAGUGUGAGCACUAGGUGAAAUUGACCUACCACAGCUCUCAGAGUUCUCGUGCAGUUCUGAUACAGCUCUGCAAUGUGCACGAACGAGGAUAAGCUUCAGAGGGCUAAAAUCAUGGUCUUGGCACCUCAAACAGUCUCAGAUAAAUCAAAAUGGGAUUCCGGAAAAGGGAAAAAGGUCUUGAGACCCAUGAUUUCCAUUUCUGCUAAGGAAAAGACUCGAUGGAAGACACAAAAUAAUGAUGAAAUAGGAAAUAGCCCAGAAAAAGAAGCAUCAAAGAAAGAUUAUUCCUCUAAGAUUUUAUCCUUGGGUAAAAUGGAUGGUGUAGUAAAGCUUUCAUAGCAAAGGAUUUUGUCAGCUAAAAGCACGAGGGAAAAGGCCAAACCACUGUGAUUUACCAGCAUCCCCUGCAAGGGCCUCUUUGCACAAAUGAUCCCUGGGAAUCUGUAUCUGAACUCAUCUCAGAAAGAUGGCUUUUUCAUAGCCUCGAUUACAGUUCAGUUCCUCAGAAGUGUUUCUUUGCAGAGAAGAUCUCAGUUUGAAGCAAAAUUGUUGAAGACCUCAAACGAUACUAAUAAAGAAUAAAAAUGAUCAUGGCUCUUUUGUGUCUAAUUUUUUUCUGCUUGUCUUUAUUUAGAACUCUUUGAUGGGAUAUUUUCUUUUAAGACUCUUAGGAGUGAUGGUAAUCAAUCUCUGAGGAUUUGAUUAUUUUUAGCCCCUUAAAAUAUUUUAAUAGAUUUUAGCCAAAAAGAGCAAUUUUUAAGUGAUUCACAUUUUUAUCGUAAGUAGAAGAGCGUUGAUCUCACA